CCAAGGCAGCGGAGUACUACACCACCAAGGCAGCGGAGUACUACACCACCAAGGCAGCGGAGUACUACACCACCAAGGCAGCGGCUAAUUUUUACUACGUUGAACCGGAAUGCUUAACCGAUGCCCCAGUUUUCUAUACUACAACCUACGCUUCUCCCAGGCACCUACUACACCGAAGCUCCGAAGUUUUACUCUUAGCAGAGUUACCACACCAUUAAGGAAGCCGAACAUUACACCACAAACGCUUCCGCCACUUACUACAUGGAGAUUCCUUAAUGCUAGAUCCGAAAUUUCUAUUUGAUUUUAUUUAGAUAUGUCGGUUGUCUUCAUGGUCAUUGGUCAUUGGGAAUUGUUUAUCUUGAUAGAGAAAAUAAAAUUUCUAAUGCCGGCAA